AUAAGGCCUUAACCACUACUCCCAAGUUCAUGCAUGUACGUACUCCUGCCAGUCCUGGUGAAUUUUGGUGUUCUGUCGAGCUUUCAUUCUUUAAUAUGCUAUCAAGCUUGCAUAAUUUAGUCGAACACGUAGAAAUGUCUAGUCUAGCCGAGUAGCCGCAGUAGGCCUUAAAUCAAUUUGAGUUGAUAUUAGAAUGUGCACCACUUUUGAGUACUCGGUCUCUAGAGUCUAGCAUCUACAUACAUCUUAUUUGAUUACACACUAUAGGGAGAAUAAACUGAAUUGCCUAUACUCUAGGAUAUUUUCAGUCUGAUAAUGUCUGAUAAUAUUAACAGUAUCCUAAUCUCUAAGGUCCAUACUCCCUACCUUUAUUCGCCACCCCCCUUAUGCUUCUUGUGAGAGUUAAUAUUCCCAUAUCUCUUUUCUAUCGACAAUAGCUGAUAGCUUGAAGCUUAAAGUUUUUUUCCGUUUCAAAUGCUCAGUCUGUUAAGAGUCUUCAGACAGAUCACUUUUAACUUUUUAAGGGCAUGUUUUAGCCGUGUCUUUCUGAGUUUUGACUCUAAUGCUGUAAAAUAAGGGAGAAGGCUGAUCUUUUGUGCCGUAUCCAGAUCAAUUUUGUGCCUGUGGUACGGCACAACCAGGGGUAGACUUUAGUUCCUCCGAACUCCAAAGCCUCUUCUUGCGUGUUGCAUAUAAAUGUAUGAUGUCUAUUUUCCUGUGGUGUAAUGCUUUUGAACUUCUUUUUUCUGGGGGGAUUACUAGUUCAUGUAUUCGAACUUGACCACUCUUAGGAGUUCUUUUUCCUCUGAGUUCUUCCAUUAUGAUGACCACGUAACACAAAACUUCAAUGGGAAAUCGGGAAUGGAUGCACAUCUCUGUCCCAGUUUAAAGAUAAAAUGGGAUAUUAUUUGUCAGACAAAACCUCAAUAAAAGACAUGCAGUUGAACAGGAAACCUAAUAUCAAGUACUCCAUAUGAGGCCUAAAAAGUAAGAAGGAUAGAAGAGAAAAGACUGUGCGGAGAAAGGUUUAAUAGAAUGAAUCAGACAUUUACCACUAAACUCUAUUAUACCCAAUACAGUUUGAUCAUUGUAUUGAAGUAGAACUUUCGUCAAACAUAUUGAUCAUGAUCUAGAGGGAAUUAAUAAUAAAAAAUUGAGUUUUGGUGUUUUAGGAAACUUAUUAUGUCAUCUUCUAUUUUCUUUGUUGCGGGAUAAGAGAGCGAGAGCGAAAGAGAGAGAUGUCAACAGAUAGGAAGAACGAGCAGUGGCCGUGAAAUAGGGAAGGAGGUCAACGGUAAACCAGAUGAUUAUGAUGAGUUAGAUGGUGGCAAGAGUGAUGGAUAAAUGCAUAUAUGCCAUUAGUAAGACUAUAACUAAUAUACCAAAUUUGAUUCUAUUGAAGCUUCAUAAGUGAUUCCAACGUGCUUGCUGAAUAGUCUGUGCUGAAUUAUUGUUUCAGAACACUAAUAUGGGAAAUGUGAAGAAAUCGUCAACUGUAAUAUGGGAAAGACCUAGUGACUAAUUACUGUGAUAAGUCACAACACAACUCCCAACUUCCACAUUCAUGUACUUGUGCCAGUCCCUGUGAAUUUUGGUAUUUUAAUAUGCUACAAAGCUUGCAUAAAUUAGUCGAACAAGCAAAAAUCUCUAGCAGAUACUCCGUAGUUAGCUAAACUUAAAGUUGUUUUGAUUUCAGAUGCUCACUUUUAAGAGCAUGUUUUAACAGUGUCUUUCUGAGUUUCGAUUCUAAUGCUGUAAAAUAAGGGAGAACCGGAGAAGGCAUGUUGGGUUUAAGUUUAAAAUUGUUUAGAUGUGGUUUUACCAACGAUGAUUUGUGUUGUGAUCUUGUAGAUGAACAAGGGUCCUUGCUGUUCUACCAUCUAUUUAGUAUUUACUACUAAUUCUACUGAAAAUGCUUCUAAACUAAUUAUGUGAUUUCUCAUUGAAUAAAGGGACAAGUAAAGCAGAAAAUGUCAUCAAGGGGCAAGUAUGUAUCUGUUAAUAUUGGACCUGUGCAAGUCAUGUCUAGCGAACAGGUGCAAGCAGUGUACAACGCCAUGCGAAGGGAUGAUCGGAUGAAGUACUUCCUUUAGGUUAGAUUUUGUUCCUUUUUUGAUAAAUUAGAUAAUCCCCCAUUUGUUCUUCAGCUCAUGUAAAGUGUAGUAAUAUGUUGUAACAUGUAAUAGACUUCUGCGAUGUAUAUUGCUGCAACCAAACACAUUGCCUGCCUUUGCAUUGUUUUUUCUUUCA